rnacentral:rRNA from 1 species
UACGUAGGGUGCGAGCGUUGUCCGGAAUUACUGGGCGUAAAGAGCUCGUAGGUGGUUUGUCGCGUUGUCCGUGAAAACUCACAACUCAAUUGUGGGCGUGCGGGCGAUACGGGCAGACUGGAGUACUGCAGGGGGAGACUGGAAUUCCUGGUGUAGCGGUGGAAUGCGCAGAUAUCAGGAGGAACACCGGUGGCGAAGGCGGGUCUCUGGGUAGUAACUGACGCUGAGGAACGAAAGCGUGGGUAGCGAACAGG